GAAAUGCGAUAAGUAAUGUGAAUUGCAGAAUUCAGCGAAUCAUCGAAUCUUUGAACGCACAUUGCGCCUCCGGGUAUUCCUGGAGGCAUGCUUGUUCGAGCGUCGUUAAAGACCAUGAGGCUUUGCCUUGCGAUGAGCCGCCGAUCGAAAGAUCGGUGGCUUCAAACCGAUUGGCGUCUGAAGUUUAGCCCAAGCACAGCAAAAUGUGUCCGAAAGCUUUACUGAAGGAUUGCCUGUCCAAUACACAACAAAGGUCGACCUCGGAUCAAGCAAGAUUACCCGCUGAACUUAA
rnacentral:misc_RNA from 1 species